CUGGCGGCGUGCCUAACACAUGCAAGUCGAACGAGAAAGUGGAGCAAUCCAUGAGUAAAGUGGCGACCGGGUGAGUAACACGUGACUAACCUACCUCCGAGUGGGGAACAACUCCGGGAAACCGGGGCUAAUACCGCAUAACAUCGCAAGAUCAAAGCAGCAAUGCGCUUGGAGAGGGGGUCGCGGCUGAUUAGCUCGUUGGCGGGGUAACGGCCCACCAAGGCGAAGAUCGGUAUCCGGCCUGAGAGGGCGCACGGACACACUGGAACUGAAACACGGUCCAGACUCCUACGGGAGGCAGCAGUGGGGAAUUUUGCGCAAUGGGGGAAACCCUGACGCAGCAACGCCGCGUGGAGGAUGAAGCCCUUUGGGGCGUAAACUCCUUUCGACUCGGACGAUAAUGACGGUACGAGUGGAAGAAGCACCGGCUAACUCUGUGCCAGCAGCCGCGGUAAUACAGAGGGUGCGAGCGUUGUUCGGAAUUAUUGGGCGUAAAGGGCGCGUANGCGGUGCGGUAAGUCACCUGUGAAAUCUCCUGGCUUAACUGGGAGUCUGCAGGCGAAACUACCGUGCUGGA
rnacentral:rRNA from 1 species